AGAGUUUGAUCCUGGCUCAGAGCGAACGCUGGCGGCAGGCUUAACACAUGCAAGUCGAGCGGGCGUAGCAAUACGUCAGCGGCAGACGGGUGAGUAACGCGUGGGAACGUACCUUUUGGUUCGGAACAACACAGGGAAACUUGUGCUAAUACCGGAUAAGCCCUUACGGGGAAAGAUUUAUCGCCGAAAGAUCGGCCCGCGUCUGAUUAGCUAGUUGGUGAGGUAAUGGCUCACCAAGGCGACGAUCAGUAGCUGGUCUGAGAGGAUGAUCAGCCACAUUGGGACUGAGACACGGCCCAAACUCCUACGGGAGGCAGCAGUGGGGAAUAUUGGACAAUGGGCGCAAGCCUGAUCCAGCCAUGCCGCGUGAGUGAUGAAGGCCCUAGGGUUGUAAAGCUCUUUU
rnacentral:rRNA from 1 species